rnacentral:rRNA from 1 species
AAUAGAUACCCUGGUAGUCCACCCCGUAAACGUUGGGAACUAGUUGUGGGGACCAUUCCACGGUUUCCGUGACGCAGCUAACGCAUUAAGUUCCCCGCCUGGGGAGUACGGCCGCAAGGCUAAAACUCAAAGGAAUUGACGGGGACCCGCACAAGCGGCGGAGCAUGCGGAUUAAUUCGAUGCAACGCGAAGAACCUUACCAAGGCUUGACAUAUACGAGAACGGGCCAGAAAUGGUCAACUCUUUGGACACUCGUAAACAGGUGGUGCAUGGUUGUCGUCAGCUCGUGUCGUGAGAUGUUGGGUUAAGUCCCGCAACGAGCGCAACCCUCGUUCUAUGUUGCCAGCACGUAAUGGUGGGAACUCAUGGGAUACUGCCGGGGUCAACUCGGAGGAAGGUGGGGAUGACGUCAAAUCAUCAUGCCCCUUAUGUCUUGGGCUUCACGCAUGCUACAAUGGCCGGUACAAAGGGCUGCAAUACCGUAAGGUGGAGCGAAUCCCGAAAAAGCCGGUCCCAGUUCGGAUUGAGGUCUGCAACUCGACCUCA